GCCCUCCACUGCCCCCCCUGUGAACGGAUCCACUGCUCCACACGGCAGGCACUGAAGCUCCAGUGUAAAGGUGGAGUCACAACAGGAGUGUGCGGCUGCUGCCCGGUUUGUGCCAAAACAGAGGGGGAGUCCUGUGGGGGGACGUGGGAUUACCUGGGAAAGUGUGAUGAGGGACUAGUGUGUGUUUACCAGGACUCUGAAGCUGACAAAUCAGAGCGAAUUGGACUCUGUAAAGCAGUGAUUGAACCUUUGGAUCCAGAGAGCUGUCACCCAGAGUGCACCAAGGAGUACUGCCAGGCAAACCCCUCAAAAAUCUGCUCUGCCAGGUUUGUGUCUCUAGAGAAGAAUUCGUGCCAGGGCUCCUGCCAACACACCUCCUGUUCAAGCUGUCUGCUGCUCAGUCCCCCAUCAUGCUCUCAGACCUGUGCUUCCUCCGACUCAUCCUGUCUUCACCGCUUUGGGAAGUGUGUGCACAAUCGUCUUCUAGCGCCUCUUAAUCCUGUGUGCCACCAAAAUAUACAGGACAAUUCUGAGGGGUAUUUGGUGUGUUUGGUCCCAGCCUGUCUGAAUUGAGGAAAUCCAGAGGAAAUGUUAAGAAGUUCAUGUAGCAAAAUGUAAAAAGGCAGCUAUUUUUACACUUCAAUCACAUGUUAUUUGCAAUGUAAACAAUG